AACGCAGAAACGUAUCUUCGGCAUUCUGGAGAAUAUCACUUUCAACUGACCUGAAGACUCGGACGACGCCAAAGUGCCUGAUACAAUCAGCAUAGCCGCGAAGAAAUCGAAGAAAAUGUUGAAAUCAUUUCCGAAAACCCUUCUAGUUCUCGCAUUUCUGGUCGCUCUGACCGACUCCGCUUCUGCUCGCGCAUUCGAGAAAGGAGGCUCGUCGAAUGACCUCCCGAGCAGCUCUGUAGGAAUGGACCCACCGGUCUUCCCUAUGGAGGACUGUAUGCGGGGGCACCUCAAGUGUCGCAAGGAAUGUCAGAGUCAGCAGUGGCGCACAGGAUUCUGUUCGGAAAUCUUUCACUGUCACUGCGUCGCUUGAGUCCCCGGCGGCCUCCCCACAAAUGCCAAAGUUCGUAGGCAGAGAGCCUACUCUCUCAGUCGUCCUGAGCUUCGUGUUCAUUCUAUUUAUCUGCUUUCGCUCCAUGACAGGAUGAAGACAUCGCACGCUGAUUCUGGUCGCGAACAGAAUCGAACUUUGUGAAUGAAGGAAUCUCUUCUCCGGAAAAAAAAAUCUGUAGAUGAUCCGUAGUUAUUCAAUAAAGCUUGUCCACUCGGAUUUGACGUAAGGAAUA